rnacentral:rRNA from 1 species
GAGUUUGAUCCUGGCUCAGGAUGAACGCUAGCGGAAUGCUUAACACAUGCAAGUCGAACGAACAUUGUUUUGUAGCAAUACGAGAUUAUGUUAGUGGCAAACGGGCGAGUAAUACGUACUUAAUCUGCCUUUGAGUUGAGAACAACUACAGAGAUGUAGCUAAUUCUCGAUAUUCCCUAUAAAAUGAAAAUAUAUAGGGGAAAGAUUUAUCGCUCAAAGUGGAGGGUGCGGCCUAUCAGGUAGUUGGUGGGGUAAUGGCCUACCAAGCCUAUGACGGGUAACCGGUCUGAGAGGAUGUCCGGUCGCAAUGGAACUGAGAAACGGUCCAUACUUCUACGGAAGGCAGCAGUGGGGAAUAUUGGACAAUGGGCGGAAGCCUGAUCCAGCAAUUCCGCGUGGAGGAUGAAGCUUUACGGAGUGUAAACUUCUUUUUUGGUGGAAGACGAAUGACGGUACACCAAGAAUAAGGGACGGCUAACUACGUGCCAGCAGCCGCGGUAAUACGUAGGCCCCGAGCGUUAUCCGGAUUUACUGGGCGUAAAGCGUCUGUAGCCUGAUUAACAAGUCUGUUUUCAAAAACCUCGACUUAAUCGAGGAGAGGGAAUAGAUACUGUUAGACUAGAGGUUAUUAGGGGUUAGUGGAAUUUCCGGUGUAGCGGUGAAAUGCGUUGAUAUUGGAAGGAAUGCCAAAAGCGAAAGCAGCUAACUAUAAUAAACCUGACGGUCAGAGACGAAAGCUUGGGUAGCAAACGGGAUUAGAUACCCCGGUAGUCCAAGCCGUAAAUUAUGUUCGCUAAGUGUCUUUGGUCGACUUGUCGACUAGGGGUGCUGUAAGUUAACACAUUAAGCGAAUCGCCUGGGUAGUAUACUCGCAAGAGUGAAACUCAAAGGGAUAGGCGGGGGAGC